GACGAACGCUGGCGGCGUGCUUAACACAUGCAAGUCGAACGGAAAGGCCCUGCUUUUGUGGGGUGCUCGAGUGGCGAACGGGUGAGUAACACGUGAGUAACCUGCCCUUGACUUUGGGAUAACUUCAGGAAACUGGGGCUAAUACCGGAUAGGAGCUCCUGCUGCAUGGUGGGGGUUGGAAAGUUUCGGCGGUGGGGGAUGGACUCGCGGCUUAUCAGCUUGUUGGUGGGGGAGUGGCUGACCAAGGCUUUGACGGGUAGUCGGCCUGAGAGGGUGACCGGCCACAUUGGUACGGAGAUACGGCCCAGACUCCUACGGGAGGCAGCAGUGGGGAAUAUUGCACAAGGGGCGGAAGCCUGAUGCAGCAACGCCGCGUGCGGGAUGACGGCCUUCGGGUUGUAAACCGCUUUCGCCUGUGACGAAGCGUGAGUGACGGUAAUGGGUAAAGAAGCACCGGCUAACUACGUGCCAGCAGCCGCCGUAA
rnacentral:rRNA from 1 species